rnacentral:sRNA from 1 species
AUUCUUACUUCUUCAAGUUUCUCUUGCUUUUCCUUCUUCUCUGCUCAAGUAUUUCAUGUAGGAGAUGAAGGGGGAUAAUGCUUCUCCUGUUUCUGAGCUACAUCUUUCCAGAGUGGUACACAUAGCUCUCACUAUAUCUUUGUCUGGGUGGAAAGUAGCUGUUCAAAGAAUCAGACUUGUUAAUUAAUCGUUAAUCACUUUGUCGCGGCGCUUGUUGGGCUACAAUCUGCAAUCUGAAACCAUGAUCCAGGCCAUUUUGAUUCGCAAUUGAACUCAGCCAUGCAAUCUGAAUACAUGGCCAUGAUUUGCAAUCCAAAACUGUGGCCCUCACCAUUUUCACUCGAUUUUCCACUCGGCCACGCGAUCCGAAAGGGAAAAAUCCAAAAACCAAAAAGAUAAAAAUAAAAAGAAUAAAAUAAAAAUAAAACAUAAAUUAAUGACUGGACUGAUUGGGAUUGGCAGCUCUGGAUUGAAGUCAAGUAUGCUGAGAUCUGGCAACAAUUACACUAGAAAAGCCAGAAGGUGAAGGAAUAGAUCGAAAAAAGACAGAAGUGUUCUAUUUGAAAUCACACCAUGCAGAAGAUGGAAUUCGUUAGUCUGAAUGAAAGGUACAUAAAUAGAGAAAUCGAAUUGCAGAAUUGGAACAACACACUUUCAUAUGCCAAGAAACGACUAAGCCUUGCCACUUGUGGAGGUAACCAUGAAAUACAUUACACUAGUCUGUAAUAGGAAUUGA